UACGUAGGGCGCAAGCGUUGUCCGGAAUUAUUGGGCGUAAAGAGCUCGUAGGCGGCUUGUCACGUCGGGUGUGAAAGCCCGGGGCUUAACCCCGGGUCUGCAUUCGAUACGGGCUAGCUAGAGUGUGGUAGGGGAGAUCGGAAUUCCUGGUGUAGCGGUGAAAUGCGCAGAUAUCAGGAGGAACACCGGUGGCGAAGGCGGUUCUCUGGGCCUGUACUGACGCUGAGGAGCGAAAGCGUGGGGAGCGAACAGG
rnacentral:rRNA from 1 species